rnacentral:rRNA from 1 species
UCAAAACCGCUACGACUCGUGAUUUCUUAGUGGCCUGGUGCACUUUCGUGUCGGCUGGUUAACAUCAAUUUCGAUCGUCAUAAAAAGGCUGGAGGGAUGUGGCUCCUUCGGGAGUGUUAUAACCUUUAGCGGAAUGUGGUGGUCGGGAUUGAGGCUUGCAACGAAUACCUUCAGGGCUGUUCCACCUGGCCUCUCAUCGGAAUUCUGGCGGCGACAGCUUGCUGACGUUGUUAGGAUCGGCCUUCGAACAGGCUAGAGUGUGAGCAAA